rnacentral:rRNA from 1 species
UACAGAGGGUGCUAGCGUUAAUCGGAUUUACUGGGCGUAAAGCGCGCGUAGGCGGCUUUGUAAGUUAGAGGUGAAAGCCCAGGGCUCAACCCUGGAAUUGCCUUUAAGACUGCAUCGCUUGAACAUCGGAGAGGUAAGUGGAAUUCCGAGUGUAGAGGUGAAAUUCGUAGAUAUUCGGAAGAACACCAGUGGCGAAGGCGACUUACUGGACGAUUGUUGACGCUGAGGUGCGAAAGCGUGGGGAGCAAACAGG